AACGAACGCUGGCGGCAGGCUUAACACAUGCAAGUCGAACGGGUGUAGCAAUACAUCAGUGGCAGACGGGUGAGUAACACGUGGGAACCUUCCUCGUUGUACGGAACAACUCAGGGAAACUUGAGCUAAUACCGUAUACGUCCGAGAGGAGAAAGAUUUAUCGCAAUGAGACGGGCCCGCGUCGGAUUAGCUAGCUGGUAGGGUAACGGCCUACCAAGGCGACGAUCCGUAGCUGACCUGAGAGGAUGAUCAGCCACACUGGGACUGAGACACGGCCCAGACUCCUACGGGAGGCAGCAGUGGGGAAUCUUGGACAAUGGGCGCAAGCCUGAUCCAGCCAAGCCGCGUGAGUGAAGAAGGCCUUAGGGUUGUAAAGCUCUUUUGGCAGGGACGAUAAUGACGGUACCUGCAGAAUAAGCUCCGGCAAACUUCGUGCCAGCCGCCGCAGUAAUAC
rnacentral:rRNA from 1 species